UUCAUGUCCCCACGGUGGCAUCUGCUUCCCAGGCUGUGGGGCCAGCAAGGGGCUCAGCUGCUCCCCAGCCCUGCCUUCCUCCAUGGAUCUGACAUGACUCUUUUAUGGGAAUUUACGUAAAAGUAACGCCUUGCUCAGUGUGGAAAAUUUAGGAGCUUCAGGAAAAUAUAAAGAAAAUUAAGGAAGUCAUCUCGCUUCUCAAAUACCGUGUUAAUUUGGGAGAGCACCUGCCAGGCAGCAGUGUCGCUCAGCUUAUGCGCAGCCAGCUUGGGGACUACAGCAGCUCAUCCUAACAAGAGACCAGAACUUCAGGCUGGUCUGAGGCAUGUGCCCACCUCUGGGUCACACGUCAUUCUUGAAGCAGUGGGCAAGUCAAAUAUCCCCACCCCUCCUGCACAGAAAAGGGGAGGAUCCCAAGAAGAGAAUGUGGGGGCUGCCUCCAGGAGGAGAAGAAAGACUUGUGGGUCCACUGCAGACAUCCAGGUGGAGAUGUCUGGAGCCCAGGGGUCGGGUAAGAGCUACAGCCAGGUUGGGGUUAUUGUGGGAGGAGCCGUAGGAGUGAAUGAGAUCAGGAAAGGUGGCCGGGGUAGACCUAGGACCUAGGGACCUAGGAAAGAGACAGACACGCUGGGGAAGAAGCGUCAGAGGACAGAGGGUGAGACGCUUGAAAAGGAAGUGGGCGAGAACAGUGUUGCCUAAAAAGAGGGAGCCCAGUUCCCUGAAGGUGAGGGUGAAGACAGGCCAUUGGGCUGAGACGAUGGGCAAAGGGCAGGGUGUGGGCAGAGCUGGUUUGGGACCCAGAGCAGUGGAAGGGCAGAGCAGCCCUUGCCGAGACCAAGGGACAGCAGGGCUGAAUGACCGCAAUGCAGCACCCGCUUCGCUUUGCAAAUAAAAUGCGGACUGCGCGAGAAAGCCUGGCUUUUAGCGUCCAUGCGUGUCCAGGAACAGCGACCAGGGCAAGUGCUUGAGUGCGCCAGGCUGGGCGAGGCAGGGAGGGACUGAGGGCUGGGUCCGGGGGAGAGGAGUGGCCAGGGAGGAGGGGCGACCCAAAGGCCUCCGGUGAUGCGCUGACAGAAGGUAAAAACAAGGAACAAAGCAAAACCACACACAGGACGGCAGCGCGGAGUCCGGGCCCUGCCCUCUGCAGCAGCGCAGCCCGGGGACUCUGGGGCUCUCCCUGCUGCCUGUGGAAUUUCCAGGCCAGCGCAUCUGAUUGGCCUGGCCUGGGGCAGUGGGUGGGGAUUUGGAUGUUUCCAGAGAAGGGAAGAUGGCGGUGAGACAGCCGCUCGGCAGCUCCAGAGGGGUCGAUCCCGCGACAGGGGAAGGGGGCGUGGGCGUCACAUGGCAGCGCUGAGACUUGAGUGCUGGAACAGCCCAGCGAGGAAGGUCCCAAAGACAGCUCUUUUCACCAGAGACAGGCCGUGCGUUUGCGGUGCGGGCUCCACCCGCAGUUCUGCUUCAGGCUUCUCCAGCUUUCUGGCAAUACCAAGGGGCAGACCCGGGAAUGGGUUGUUCAGUCACUGCUGUACCGCCCAUGAGCGGCAGAGGGCAGCAAAACACACUCAUCGGACGGGCAUCAAGGGAGCCUGAGGAUAACCAGGUAUGCUUUAAAAUGUUUUCGCAUCAUUUAGGGAACUCUUGCAGAGGAGAAAUACUACAGAUUUAAAAUUAUGAAACCAAAAAAACCACAGACACGAGUAACUAUUUAUUCUCCUUAUGAGAAAC
rnacentral:lncRNA from 1 species